CAGGAGGGCGGAACCCGGAAGGCAGGGCGCUUAGGUCGGACCUGAGAGCGGUGGACUGAGGUCCGCGGCCGGGUCCCGCAUGGCGGCGCACAGGAAGCACGUGUUUGUUGAGAAGGUGCUGCAGAGACUUUUUCCUCGGGUUCCAAGUGGCCAAGGAAAGAGGGAACCCCAGACGCUGGCUGUCCAAAAUCCACCAACAAAAGUGACCUCUGAGAAAGUGAGUCGGAAACAUGCUCAGCCUUUGACAGACGCUAGCUCUGAGACCCCGACUGCCAGACGGCUCUACACCGCCAGUGGGCCUCCCGAGGGCUAUGUCCCCUGUUGGCCCGAGCCCAGCAGCUGUGGGAGCCCCGAGAACGCCUCCAGCGGGGACGACACAGAAGAUCAGGAUCCUCAUGACCAGCCAAAGAGAAGAAGAAUUAGGAAGCAUAAGUCAAAGAAAAAAUUAAAAAAUCCCAGCAGUGUUCUUGUAGAACAAGCAGAAUUAGAGAAACAGCAGAGUCCGUUACAGGAGAAAUUUCAGCGACAGCACACAGACGGGCCCAUGAUAAGCAAAAAUAAAAAAAGGAAACUGAAAAAGAAACAGCAAAUUAAAAGGAAGAAAGCAGCGGGCUUGGCAACAAAGGCUGCUGGUGUCAGCUUCAUGUACCAGCCAGAGGACGGCAGCAGUGAAGGGGAAGGCAUGGGAGUGGCUGGUGAGGGGGGAGGUGCGGACGCCAGCGAGGAAGACCCGACACCGGCCAGGGAGGAAGACAUUAAAGACGCCGGGGAGGAGGGAGGUGUGGACUCCUGGGAGGAAGACCCAACACCGGCCAGGGAGGAGGACGGUGCGGACUCUGGGAAGGAAGACCCGACACUGGCCGGGGAGGAGGAUGGUGCCGACACCAGCGAGGAAGAUCCGAUACCGGCCGGGGAGGACGAUGGUGCAGACGCCGGGGAGGAAGAUGAUACAGUUACCGAUGAAAAGGCAGCUAGUGUUCUAAAUUUUUUGAAGUCAACACAGGAAAUGUAUUUUUAUGACGGUGUCUCCAGAGAUGCAGCUUCAGCCGCCCUCGCCGAUGCCGCUGAGGAACUGCUGGACCGUCUUGCAUCACACAGCAUGCCGCCCUCAGACGUGUCCAUCCUGCACCACCUGAAAACACUGCUGCUUCUGCAAGAUACUGAGAGAUUGAAGCGUGCUCUGGAAAUGUUCCCAGAACAUUGCACGAUGCCUCCUGACCAUGCCAGAGUAAUCUCAGCUUUCUUUAGUUACUGGAUCACACGUAUCCUCCCUGAGAAGAGCAGUGACUAAAGUGGAAUAGCUCUUUAAGAAGAGCUCCGCUUUGAUAAAAACAGGAAAGACAGAUGUGAAAUGGGCCUAGAGUGAGCUCUCUGGGAGCUUGAAAGACGCUUCUGCCGCAUUAUUUCUUCAUGUGUUGCUCCUGAUGGGACCCGCGUGUGCCCUGUCCUGCCUGUGAGCAUCCGUGUCCCAGGCGCUGUGUGGUGCUCGUCUCCCUUCCUCUGGGGAAUGGAACUGCAGGGUCACCUGGUGAUGGCGACGUUCUGAGGGGCCGCCAGGUGGGCUGCUGGGCCCCCCACACCCCCAGUGCUGAUCAGGGCCAUUCUGACGGGUGGAGGUGGCGGCUCGGGGGUUGCUGUCCGCUUCUGUCUUUGGAGAACAUCAGCCCAGACCACCCCUGCCCAAAGCUGAUGCUCAGGUGGGCAGUGUGGAGGGAGGGGAAGGAAGCCCUGUCGUCCCCCUUGCCCCCUGUCCUGCCAGUUCCCUCCAGGUCUCUAAGAGACGUCUCUUCCACAAGCUGGAACCUUCUGGAAGCAGGUGAAACAGGGAUGUUUCUGGCGCUGGAGACGGUCCCCUGGGAUCUGGUGGUCAUGCAGUAUCCCCAGCUUGAUGCAUGUCGCAGGCCCUGGAGCACAGGCAUGUGGCAGCGGACGCCACUGUUCCCAGCGUCACCCGAGGACAGGACGCAGGCCGCUCCAGAUGGGGCAUUCCCAGGAGGCCACACAGAUGGGGUUUCUCCAUGUUGGUCAGGCUGGUCUUGAACUCCCGACUUCAAGUGAUCCACCCGCCUCAGCCUCCCAAAGUGCUGGAUUACUGGCGUGAGCCACUGUGCCUAGCCUAAAUGCUUCUUAAUUAAUAGCACAUGCUUUGCAAAUAUGAAAAUAAAUUCAAUAUUGGCAAAUUCAUAAUUUUACUAUUCUUAACGUCCCACUUGUGUCUUUUAAUGAUGAACCAUCUCCACUUUCUCCAUCCCCUGCAAGUGAAUGUGUCAUUGCCGGGGGGGCAGUGGGGAAUGUGUCGGCCUUUUCCUGCGUUCCACGGAAUCCCUGUAGGUUACACGGAAUCCCCUGUAAGUGCCACGGGAUCCCUGUGGAUGCCACGGAAUCCCUGUAGCUUCCAGAGAAUCCCUAUAGGUGCCACGGAAUCCCUGCCAUUGCAGGGGGCGGUGGGGAAUGUGUCAGCCAUUUCCUGCGUUCCACAGAAUCCCUGUAGACUCACUUCUUGCUUCUGUGAUCCUGGGGGCUUUACUUUGUGAAACCUCCUGCAUUCACUUCCUGAUCCUGAGAAUAUUGAGGAAUAGGGGUACAGUGGAGCAGGUGGAAGUUUAGGGUUAAUUCGUUUUGUGUGUCAUUCUGAUUCCAAAAGGGAAAAUGCAUCUUCUACAAAACAAAAGCAAAUAAAUCUUGUCUCUAAUAUGCCAGCAUAGAUAUGAUAAUCUGUUUAUUCCACUGUGUUUGAAGUUAGAUAAUAAUUAAAUCAAUUUAUCUUCUACAAUAGUGCAAACUACUCAUUCAGUUCAUGUAAUUUAUUUUCUGUAAACCAUGUCAGUUAAGACAGGCAGAGAAGGAAGCACUCAGGAGCAUGAGGAAUUGUCAUCAGGUUGCUAAUAUUAAGACAGUUGUGCCUAGAAGGAAAAAACACAGAAUUUCUGAGCCCGUCAGUACUGCCUGCACCCUGGGACCUCCACCUGUGUCUGCAGAGCCUGAGCAGAGAGGGCUUGCAUGAGCCCAUCUCCAAUUUGCUUCCCAGGCCCAGCUGCCGCCCGGCUCCAGGGCAGAACUGUGGUGGGUUCGGGAGACUCCAGGGCCCACAGGGUCGGUUCUGGGCUUUGCCUCUCUCUGCAGCUCUUGCCCCGAGCACUCUCCAGGUGACGUAUCCUCUCAUCCUGGGGCUCGUCAGAGAAUCACAGGGAUGGGUUCCACCCCCUCCCAAAUAAGACGCGUGCAUGCCUCCGGCCGCCUCACUCCCACAUAAGAAGCGUGCAUGCCUCCACCCCGUCUCACACCAGUAUUGGGUACAGCUUUGAAGGGGUCAGAAAUUCCUUAAAACCUAUUCAACAGGGUAUUGUGGUGCAGUGAGUUCCCCACCAGGCUACUGAGGGCUUUUGUCCACUGCCUGAACCCUGAAGGCUGAGCAGCGAGCCAAGGUCACAGCGCCCCGCAGAGGAGCAGACAUCCCAGUAACCUGGAGCCAACCCGAGAACUGUCCAGGACCUGGGGUAGGAGCAGGCAUCCCCAGAACCUGGAGCCAGCAACCGCCCGGGAGAGUAGUUCCAUUGCUCAUGGCCGGCAGCAAGCCCGGGAACCCACGCAGAAGCAGCUCGGAAGCUGCGGGUCUUAGUGCUGUCCUGCGGCUGUCCAGGCAGGCUGUGUCCCAGCCAUUCUUUGAUCUCUUGCUCCCUCCCAGUUUGGGCCGGGGCCGGGGCCGGGGAUGGAGGAAACUGAAUUCUAAAAUUUUUAUCGUAACAAGUAUUAAUGAAUUUUAUUCUUCUGCAUAACAAAUGACCACAGGCCCAGUGGCUUGAAAUGACACCAUUUGCCGCCUCACAGUGUCGGUACAGGGUGGGGAUUCCGCGUAGCCAUGCGGGGACCUCUCUGUGGACCCACCGGCUGCCAGCAAAAUGCUGUUCCUGUGACCACAGGACAGAGGCUCCGAGUCCUUGCUGGCUGACACUGUGGCCGCCGCCACUCCUCGAGGCCCCAAGUCCCAGUCCUGUGGCCCCUCCAACCUGGCAGCCAACCUCAGGGUGGCAGAAGAGCCCUCUGGUAUGGAGAACCUCUUUUUAAAGCUUGCAUUUGACUCCAUCAGGCCUGCCCAGGUAAUCUGCCUGGG